rnacentral:rRNA from 1 species
UACGGAGGGUGCAAGCGUUAUCCGGAUUCACUGGGUUUAAAGGGUGCGUAGGUGGGUUGAUAAGUCAGUGGUGAAAUCUCCGAGCUUAACUUGGAAACUGCCAUUGAUACUAUUAGUCUUGAAUACCGUGGAGGUUAGUGGAAUAUGUCAUGUAGCGGUGAAAUGCUUAGAUAUGACAUAGAACACCAAUUGCGAAGGCAGCUCGCUACACAUAUAUUGACUCUGAGGCACGAAAGCGUGGGGAUCAAACAGG